GCAGAGAAAGAUUUAAUUCAAGUAAUUAGGAAUUUCCAAAUUUAUUGGAAGGGCUUGAGAAGAAGGCUACACCAGUUCACAGUAUACAACAGUGAACAAAACAGACCAAAACAACUCUUAGUUCAUGGAGUUUACAUUCUAGUGUAGAAAGAGAAGCAAUAAACACAAUAAAAAAGCAAAAUUUGUUAUAUGUUAAAUUUUACAUACUUUAUGAUAAGUGCUAUAGAGAGAAAUAAAGCAGGGAAGCCGGAUAGGAUUUCUGGGACCAUUUAAAAUAGAGUGGUGAAGGAAGGCCUCACUGAUAAGGUGACAUUUGAGUAAAAUCCUAAAGAAAGCAAGGAAGCAGGCCAUAGAGAUAUUUGGUGGAAGGGCAUCUUAGGUAAAGGGAACAACAGAUGCAAGGGCCCUGAAGUGGGAGCAUAAAUUAUGUAUUUAAGAAACAGCAAGGAAGCUACUGUGGCUAAAGCUGAAUGAGAAAAGUGAGGGUCAUAAGAGAUGAGAUCUGAGCAGUAAGAUGGGGAGUGUGUGUGUGUGUGUGUGUGUGUGUGUGUGUGUGUGUGUUUGCAUGUGUGCAAAAUGUAAGGCAUUGUGGACCAUUAUAAUGAUUUUUUUCUCUUGGUGAGGUGAUAUUUUUCCAUUUGAGGAAAGGAAAAUUUGGACAAAGGAAUAACACAGUCUUACUGUUUUAAAAGGCGCACUCUUGGGGACAAGAGCAGGAGUAAACUGAGUGGCUUUCAGAAUAACCUGGACAAGAGAUGAUAGUGGCUUGGACUAUGAUAGUGAUGCAGGUGGUAAAAAGUGAUUAGAGAUAAUUAAAAGAUAACCCAUGAGUAAUUAUGACCCAACUAAGCUUGGGUAACAUUCAUUGGGUAGUUAUUGAUUAACUUUUGUUUUCCUACUCUAGAGGAACUUUCUCUAGUAAUGCCUAGGAGCUGAGGCUGUGAUGGAGAAUGCAAAGGUGACCACCCCAUUGGUGGGGAUUGGUAUGGCUGUAACAGUAAGUGGGCAAAGAUGAUCAUGGCUUGGGCCAAGGUGGUACUAGUAAAGGUGGUGAGAAGUUUCCAGACUCUGGAUUUAUUUUGAAAAUAAAACCAAGAUUUGUUGAUAAAUUGGGCAUGGAAUGCAAGCAAAAGUGAGAAAUCAGUGUGACUGUAGUUUUUUGUCCCCUUUUUUUUUGUUAUUGUUGGAGUUUACAUUAGUGAUAAUGACAAGACUUCAAGAAGAACAGAUUUUGUGGGAAAUAUCAGGAGCUCAUUUUGAACCUGCUGAGUUCGAGAUGCCUUUGAUACAUCUAAAUGUAGAUGCCAAGUUGGCAACUGGAUAUAUGAGCAUAGAGCUCAGGAGAGUUUAAAGAAAAUUUUAUUAGUUAACAUUGUUGAGGUAACUAACAAGCACCAAAUCUCAGUGGAUUACAGCAACAAACGUUCAUUUCCUGCUCUUGCUACAUAUGGGCUACAGAUUGAUUACAGCUCUGCUCUAGGUUGUGGGCCAGCAAAUAGGUCGGAUUCAAGUGUCUUCUAAUCUUGUGCCUAGGCUAAAAGAACAGCCCCUGUCUGUGCUAUACUCGUGGCAAAGGGCAGAAGCAAGAGAGACCAAACUAAUCCAUUCAAUCCAGUUUAAAGAUUCUCCUUGCAUAUGGUGUACACCACGUAUUUCCAUUCUAUUCCAUUCCACCAGCCAAAAAAAGUCACAUAACUCAGCCCUGCAAUGUGGCAAAAAAUGUAUACUCUGCUCAGCAGAGGCAUUUAAAGACAAAUCCAAAGGGUGCGGAUGUAUAAUAGUCAUAGAAGGGAGAAAGCAAGUAGUUGUAAACCAUAAUUUAAUCUACCACAAAGUGAGUAUAGAUAGUGAAGAGAAGAAAUCCAAAGCCUGAGAUAUUUCAAUAUUCAGAGGUCAGGGAAAUAAGGAGAAACCAACAAAGGAGACUGAGAAGGAAGAGAUAGUAAGGUAGGGAGAAACAUUGGAAGUCAAGAAAAGAAAGUGUCUCCAGAAGAAAGGAGGGAUCAGCUGUGUCCCAUACUGCUCAUAGGUCAAGCAAGAUGUGGGCUGACAUUGACCAUUACAUUUAGCAAUGUGGAAAUAUUGAGUGAUAGUGAUGACAGAGUUAAUGGCAUGGUGGGGGAUGCUAUGGUUUGAAUGUCUGUCCCCUCCCACACAAGUUGAAGUUUAAUUGCUAUUGUGACAGUAUUAAAAGGUGGGAUAUUUAAGAGGUAAUUAGGUCAUGAGCACUCUACCCUCAUGAAUGGAUUAAUGCCAUUAUCUCAGAAAUAGAGUUGUUAUCGUUGGAGUAGAAUCCUUAUAAAAGGAUGAGUUCAGCUCUGUUUUGUCUCUCUCACCCUCUCUUUGCCCUUCUGCCAUGGGAUGCUGUCCACCAUGGGAUGAUGCAGCAAGAAGGCCCUGGCAAGAUGCACUUUUCAAUCUUGGACUUCCCAGCCUCCAGAAGUGUGAGCCAAUAAAUCUCUGAGGGUUCUGUUCUAUGUCAUUUCCUUUGAAGUCAGUGGGAACUCUGUGCAGGACGGCAACAUGAACACCGGCCUCUAUACAUGAAGGCCAUCAAGUGGUUAACAUAUAGACAGUAUUUAAAUCCUUGGGACUGGAUGAGAUUACCAAGGGAGGAAAUGUAGAUGAAGGAGAAGAGAAAGGAUGGAGUUCUGGAGCACUACAAAUUU
rnacentral:lncRNA from 1 species